GACGCUGGCGGCGGGCCUAACACAUGCAAGUCGAACGCACUCGACCUUCGGGUCACAUGAGUGAGUGGCGAACGGGUGAGUAACACGUGAGGAACCUGCCCCGAAGACUGGAAUAACCCGAGGAAACUCGGGCUAAUACCGGAUAUCCCCACCAGGUCGCAUGGCCAGGUGAGGAAAUGCUCCGGCGCUUCGGGAGGGUCUCGCGGCCUAUCAGCUAGUUGGUGAGGUAACGGCUCACCAAGGCAUCGACGGGUAGCUGGUCUGAGAGGACGAUCAGCCACACUGGGACUGAGACACGGCCCAGACUCCUACGGGAGGCAGCAGUGGGGAAUCUUGCGCAAUGGGCGAAAGCCUGACGCAGCCACGCCGCGUGAGGGAUGAAGGCUUUCGGGUUGUAAACCUCUUUCAGCAGGGACGAAAAUGACGGUACCUGCAGAAGAAGCCCCGGCCAACUACGUGCCAGCAGCCGCGGUAACACGUAGGGGGCGAGCGUUGUCCGGAUUUAUUGGGCGUAAAGAGCUCGUAGGCGGUUCAGUAAGUCGGGUGUGAAAACUUGAGGCUCAACCUCAAGAGGCCACUCGAUACUGCUGUGACUUGAGUCCGGUAGAGGAGUGUGGAAUUCCUGGUGUAGCGGUGAAAUGCGCAGAUAUCAGGAGGAACACCGACAGCGAAGGCAGCACUCUGGGCCGGUACUGACGCUGAGGAGCGAAAGCGUGGGGAGCGAACAGGAUUAGAUACCCUGGUAGUCCACGCCGUAAACGUUGGGCACUAGGUGUGGGAUCUAACUAACAGAUUCCGUGCCGUAGCUAACGCAUUAAGUGCCCCGCCUGGGGAGUACGGCCGCAA
rnacentral:rRNA from 1 species